rnacentral:rRNA from 1 species
GAUGAACGCUGGCGGCGUGCUUAACACAUGCAAGUCGAACGGAAAGGCCCAAGCUUGCUUGGGUACUCGAGUGGCGAACGGGUGAGUAACACGUGGGUGAUCUGCCCUGCACUUCGGGAUAAGCCUGGGAAACUGGGUCUAAUACCGGAUAGGACCACUUCUUGGAUGUGGUGGUGGAAAGUUUUUUCGGUGUGGGAUGAGCUCGCGGCCUAUCAGCUUGUUGGUGGGGUAAUGGCCUACCAAGGCGUCGACGGGUAGCCGGCCUGAGAGGGUGUACGGCGGCAUUGGGACUGAGAGACGGCCCAGACGCCUACGGGAGGCAGCAGUGGGGAAUAUUGCACAAUGGGCGCAAGCCUGAUGCAGCGACGCCGCGUGGGGGAUGACGGCCUUCGGGUUGUAAACUCCUUUCGCUAGGGACGAAGCGUUUUGUGACGGUACCUGGAGAAGAAGCACCGGCUAACUACGUG